GUUUCUGUGUUUCUUAUUUAAUAAGACGGUUGGUUACAUCAACAGUUCUGGGUUGACACAGUGAUGUUUGUUCCAUCUGUAUUUAUAAAUGAAGGUGUGUGUGUGUGUGUGUGUGUGUGUGUGUGUGUGUGUGUGUGUGUGUACACGUCUUCACGUACUCAUGUGAAGGGCAGAGGUCAUUGUCAAGAGUCUUUUCUAUUACUGUGCUUAUUUGAGGCAGGGUCUUUGUUUUGCCAUUCUGCAAAAUAAUCCGUUAAUAGAAUGAAAAGAAUAUCAAUUCCACACACUAUUCGUAUUAACGUAUGUGGUGAUGUUGAAUUCACUAGGAUGACAGAGUAACUCCAAUAUGAAUACUGUAAGUAUGUAGAGUUAAGUAUGUCUCUGUGAUUGGCUGUUCCAACCCACUAACCGGCGUGUUUGGAAUAGUAGCAGCACAUCUAUUACCUGUUGGGUUGGUUUGAAUGAGGAUUGUUUCCCAGAGCAUCAUGUGUUUGGACAGCUGGUUCCUAGUUGGUGGUGCUGUUUGGGGAGUUUAUGAAACUUAGGAGGCAGAGCCUUGCUGAAGGAAAUACGUCACUGGGCAGACUUUCAGAGUUUAUAGCCCACUUUCAGUUUCCUUUCUCUGCUUUCUGUGUGGUGAAAUGUGAUCAGUGUCUUGCCCUGGCUGCCUGCUGCAAUGCCUGCCUCACUGUUUAGGGACUCGGACCCCGCUGGAACUGUAAGCCAAGGAGGAGAUGAUUACCCGGAUAUGGAAGACAAGCUCUCAGGAACUCCAGCUCUUUCCAUAAGUGAGCCUUUCAUCCUUCAGUCCUUUUCAUUUUCUGCCAACUUUGGAACGGUGCAAGCGCUCAGGAAGUCUCAGUAUUUUCUGACAGGAAAUCACUGCCCCGUCUAAGGUCAUCAAAGAAAUGUAAAUUCUCACAUGGAGUCGACAGCUGGGCCUCCUCGCAGCGUGCUAGUGAUUGACGCAGGUGAUGUCUGGUCUUUUCAAAGCGGUAACAGUGGAUGUGAGGGCGAUCUGGCUGCAACAUCUGUUGCCACAUUACUUGCCAGCGUUGAUUCAGCUGAACUGGCUGGCUGGGUGGGGUCCCCCUUCUCCUUCAUUGGUCCUCGUAUAUCCCUCCUCUAGCUGUGCACGCAGUGGAAGAGAAUGACCUUGCCCAACAGAGGAAGGAUGGUCUUCAAUCAAAGGUGUCUUCCCUGAUCUCCCCGGAUGGAAGCUUCAAACACACUGUCAAAGCAAUCGGGAGGGAGGCAGACAGCCACCUCACAUGCUGCUGUUCAUCUAUGAUACUGGCUUGGGAGGACAAUUCCAAAACAGGGACAAGGAAAUGCUUCUGGAGGCUGAGAUGAUGUGCUGGUCCUCUGGUACCCAAGACACUGGUCAGCUGCACAUCUACUACACAAGGGCCAGAAGAUGAGGAGUUCCUGGUUGGAGAGUUAGCAGGCUGUCAAUACUGGAUUAUGCUUAAAUUUCUUACAGGUCCUUUCUGUGGAUCUAGUUGUCUCCUCCAGCCAACCAAGGUCGCAGAAUGCUCCUGAACUUCAGUGCUCCUGGGAUGAUGAUUGACAUGAAUAAACAGGGUGUAAGACAGACCCUGGUGGGCUGUGUAUAAGUGAAGUUUUAUGUCUUCUAAUUUCAAUAAUAUGCCAUGCAAAAGGAAAUCAGGGCUCUCAAGUCCUUCCCACAUAGAGGGAGCUUUUCGGUGAUACAGAUAUACCCCAGGACAAAGCUUUCUGGACAGAUGCUAUUGAAGACAUAAGUGUAGCUGAAGUUUUCUCCGGUCCUGCCCAGCCCCACGGACCCUGCAGCCGCUUACAUGUCUGCAUGGUAAACACUCUGCUGAUGGAGCCAUCACCCCAGACCCCACUUGUUACUUUUAUUGAAUAAAGUAGACGUAUUACAUUUAAAUGAUUAAACUAGAAACAUUUAAAACAAACCCCUUUGGUUGAGAGCUUUCAUCUUUUGGAUUUCUGUAUUCUUAGCUGCUGCAAGUGCAUUCUUGGCUGCCCCCACCUCCUGUGCAUGUGACUCCACAGGAAAGGCUUCCUCUUCCAGAGGAGCUGUUCUCAGAGAAAGAGCUAGAGAAUGUGUAAAUGACUGUUCACCACAGCUCUGCAGCCACUUAUAAAAAUAAUCACUCAGAAGCUUGUAUUAAUUAAAACUGUUUGGCCAUUAGCUCAG